AAUGGGUUGCACAAAACACCGUAAGUUCAGAUUUUCAUUUAAGUCCUAGUUAAGGUUUCCUCAAAAUACAAUUGGUUGCACAAAACACCUCAAGUUCAGAUUUUCAUUUAAGUCCUAGUUAAGGUUUCCUCUAAAUAAAAUCGGUUGCACAAAACACCCAUAACUCUUCUCCUUAAGGUUUCCUAAAAAUGUUCACUUAACUAUUUAUGGUUUUCUCCUUGGCUUGGUGUUAUACUUAAGGAAUCCCUAGACCGCUGCACAAAAGACCUUAGCAACCAAAGCAAGGUUUAAAAAAAAAAAAAAAAAAAAAAAAAAACUUAAGGUACCUCUGACUCUAUCUUAACUGCAACGUGACCAAGUUCCUGGUGAUUAAUGAAAAAAACGCACACACCCUGAGAUAAUGUUAUUGUCAACUUGGACUCAAGGAUGAAGUGAUUCAAUUUUGGUGGUCAAAAACUUGAGAUGUUUUCUGCAACUGGUCCCAGCUAUUUUGGUGGCUUAUGAAUUAAUGAUUAAAGUAAUUUAAAGUUCAUUAACUGAAGAUCCAUUAACUAGUCAUAUAAGGAGGGGAGCUCGGAGUAGAGCCGCUGCUCCUUCACAUUGAAAGGGGUCAGUUGAGGUGUCUCAGGCAUCUGACAUCCUGGGCGCCUCCCGUUGGAGGUGGAUGGAUGGAUAAUCAUAAAACCUCACAGCAACUUGAUCAUAGUGAGUGACCGGAAUUUAUGCAUCAAAUCAUAAUGACUCUUUAAUUAAUUCUAUACUUUAAAUGUGUGUGUGUCACCUUCAUCAUAAAGUAUUACCCAGACGUGCUACACUGAUGAAGAUCGUUUAAGUUUCCAUCAUAUUAGUUUGAACAUUAGUCACCAGUAUUUGCUUGAUAACGUGGUUACAGCUUAACAAAUGCAUUUGAUCAUGAUUUAAUUUAUUUAAACUUCUUCUUUCCUCACACUUGUCAUGAGACGGUGCAGCAGAUUGUGCACAUGAAGUGGGAGAGCGGACCGUGUUGAAUGUGUUCCUGUCGAAGUGCUCUAUAUGCUGGGGACUAUACGGGAUGACCGAGUUGUUUCAUGAUGUCACAUGUCCGCAGCUCCAUCCUGUGGUUCGCUGUUGAUAGUUUUCUGAGGGAGAAGCAGUCACUUUUCAACUGGGAGAGAUUUUUUUUGUUAUGAAAUGUCAAAUUGCAUGCAGGGAUGGAUAAGCACAUGGCUGUUGCCAUCUCAGUCCCUCACACACAGGUGUGACCAUGUGCGCAGUAAAUUGAGCUUAGGUGUUUGAUGGUAUGAGGACGCCGGGCCGAAACCAGCAUCUGCACCAAAUACAGUGAAUGGAACAAGGCCACUAUUAUCAGUAGUUACUCUCAAAGGUGUUUCAGAAUCUCCACCGACAAACCGUGACAAGCAGCUCAACUCUCUGGUUGUCAUGACGUCUCACCUUAGAUUUUAAAAAAAGGGAAAAGUCAACAAUGUGUAUAUUAUGUCUGUAUGGAAACCUAAACGUUCAGAUCCAAACGUGGGUGUUUGAUGUCCGUUUGUAUGCUUUUUGUGUGUCAAUUCAGAGCGAGAGAAUAAAUUAAUUUAUAUAUUUUUUAGAAAAUAAAAGCUGUACUAUUAUUACAAAAAAAAGGACUGUGGCCAAUAAAGAGUCUUACACAACAGAAAUAAUCUCAAAGUCAGACUCGAGUCGACAUCUGCACUCACUGCCUUAAAACAUUCACAGGUUCUGUUUCACAGCUCCGACCCGAGAAAAAUCAUAAAAAGGCUUUUCGAGGAGGGCGAGGAGAAGACGGUGUACAGUAGUAGUGGUAGUAGAGUUUGUACAAAUAUACCAAGUGAAAAAAAAUAUUUAUUACCUGCAUUGGAAGAAAUUGUUUACUUAUUGAAUGUUACCUGUUUAUGUAGAAAAGUUUAGAUGUAAUAAAAUGCAUUCUGUUA